UACGUAGGGUGCGAGCGUUAAUCGGAAUUACUGGGCGUAAAGCGUGCGCAGGCGGUUUUGUAAGCCAGAUGUGAAAGCCCCGGGCUUAACCUGGGAAUGGCAUUUGGGACUGCAAGGCUGGAGUGCGGCAGAGGAGACUGGAAUUCCCGGUGUAGCAGUGAAAUGCGUAGAUAUCGGGAGGAAUACCGAUGGCGAAGGCAGGUCUCUGGGCUGACACUGACGCUCAUGCACGAAAGCGUGGGGAGCAAACAGG
rnacentral:rRNA from 1 species